AUUGAACGCUGGCGGCAUGCUUUACACAUGCAAGUCGAACGGCAGCGCGGGCUUCGGCCUGGCGGCGAGUGGCGAACGGGUGAGCAAUGCAUCGGAACGUGCCCAGCAGUGGGGGAUAGCCCGGCGAAAGCCGGAUUAAUACCGCAUAAGACCUGAGGGUGAAAGCGGGGGACCGAAAGGCCUCGCGCUCUUGGAGCGGCCGAUGUGGGAUUAGCUAGUUGGUGGGGUAAAGGCUUACCAAGGCGACGAUCCGUAGCUGGUCUGAGAGGACGACCAGCCACACUGGAACUGAGACACGGCCCAGACUCCUACGGGAGGCAGCAGUGGGGAAUUUUGGACAAUGGGGGCAACCCUGAUCCAGCCAUGCCGCGUGCGGGAAGAAGGCCUUCGGGUUGUAAACCGCUUUUGUUCGGGAAGAAAUGCUCUGGGCUAAUACCCCGGGGGUAUGACGGUACCGGAAGAAUAAGCACCGGCUAACUACGUG
rnacentral:rRNA from 1 species